CCUAUGGGGGGCAGCAGGCGCGAAAACUUUACAAUGCGGGAAACCGUGAUAAGGGAACUCCGAGUGUCCGUAAAUUCGGACUGUCCGUAUGUUUAAAAAGCAUACGAAGAAAGGGCCGGGCAAGACCGGUGCCAGCCGCCGCGGUAAUACCGGCGGCUCGAGUGGUGGCCACUAUUACUGGGCUUAAAGCGUUCGUAGCUUGGUUGUUAAGUCUCUUGGGAAAUCUAUCGGCUUAACCGAUAGGCGUCCAGGGGAUACUGGCAAUCUAGGGACCGGGAGAGGUGAGGGGUACUUCAGGGGUAGGAGUGAAAUCCUGUAAUCCUUGGGGGACCACCUGUGGCGAAGGCGCCUCACCAGAACGGCUCCGACAGUGAGGGACGAAAGCUGGGGGAGCAAACCGGAUUAGAUACCCGCGUAGUCC
rnacentral:rRNA from 1 species